rnacentral:rRNA from 1 species
ACGCUCGACACCUACGGAAGGCAGCAGUGGGGAAUAUUGCACAAUGGGGGAAACCCUGAUGCAGCGACGCCGCGUGAGCGAAGAAGUAUUUCGGUAUGUAAAGCUCUAUCAGCAGGGAAGAAAGUGACGGUACCUGACUAAGAAGCACCGGCUAAAUACGUGCCANCAGCCGCGGUAAUCUGAGCGGGCUGGCAAGGC